GAUGAACGCUGGCGGCGUGCCUAAUACAUGCAAGUCGAGCGAACGGACGAGAAGCUUGCUUCUCUGAUGUUAGCGGCGGACGGGUGAGUAACACGUGGAUAACCUACCUAUAAGACUGGUAUAACUUCGGGAAACCGGAGCUAAUACCGGAUAAUAUUUUGAACCGCAUGGUUCAAAAGUGAAAGACGGUCUUGCUGUCACUUAUAGAUGGAUCCGCGCUGCAUUAGCUAGUUGGUAAGGUAACGGCUUACCAAGGCAACGAUGCAUAGCCGACCUGAGAGGGUGAUCGGCCACACGGGAACUGAGACACGGUCCAGACUCCUACGGGAGGCAGCAGUAGGGAAUCUUCCGCAAUGGGCGAAAGCAUGACGGAGCAACGCCGCGUGAGAGAUGAAGGUCUUCGGAUCGUAAAACUCUGUUAUUAGGGAAGAACAUAUGUGUAAGUAACUGUGCACAUCUUGACGGUACCUAAUCAGAAAGCAACGGCUAACUACGUG
rnacentral:rRNA from 1 species